UACGGGGGGGGUAAGCGUUGUUCGGAAUUACUGGGCGUAAAGGGCUCGUAGGCGGCCAACUAAGUCAUACGUGAAAUCCCUCAGCUUAACUGGGGAACUGCGUGUGAUACUGGAUGGCUUGGAUUUGGGAGAGGGAUGCGGAAUUCCAGGUGUAGCGGUGAAAUGCGUAGAUAUCUGGAGGAAUACCGGUGGCGAAGGCGGCAUCCUGGACCGGCAUUGACGCUGAUGAGCGAAAGCUAGGGGAGCAAACGGG
rnacentral:rRNA from 1 species